rnacentral:rRNA from 1 species
AACUGAAGAGUUUGAUCAUGGCUCAGAUUGAACGCUGGCGGCAGGCUUAACACAUGCAAGUCGAGCGGAGAGAGGUAGCUUGCUACUGAUCUUAGCGGCGGACGGGUGAGUAAUGCUUAGGAAUCUGCCUAUUAGUGGGGGACAACAUUUCGAAAGGAAUGCUAAUACCGCAUACGUCCUACGGGAGAAAGCAGGGGAUCUUCGGACCUUGCGCUAAUAGAUGAGCCUAAGUCGGAUUAGCUAGUUGGUGGGGUAAAGGCCU